UUGGAAUUUUCGGGCGGCAUAACGACAUGAAAUUGUCGAAUCCGAGAAUGAAACUCUGAUUUUACCACAGAAAAACAAUUUUGCAUUAUUUACAACAAUAUAGAAUUAUUUUACUAGAUGUGUGGAGACUCACAAACCAACUAAAAGCAGGAUGGAACCCUUAUUAAACUAUUGAACACAACAUAAAGUUUCUAUAAAGCCAUGAUAUGCUAAUAAAACUAAAAUAAUGUAUGAACAGAAACCACAUAUUUAUCAUGUACUAUUUAUUCACAGUAUCCAUAACAAUAGCAUACGAAGUGAGUUGCAGGAUUUCAAUUCAUAAUUCCCACAAUAACAAUAUAUGCCAUAUCUCAAUGAUCCUGAAACGUACAAUACUUUAAACAGAGUUAUCAUCAUCAGUUAAAACAAUAGAAAUCAAUUCAAGCAUAUAAAACUAAGGAACACUAUAUCAAUAUAUAUCUACAUAAAGUCCUAAUUAUGUAAUCACUAGUUCAUAUAUUAGAACUUCAAGUUAAAAUGGUAAAUAUUUUACAGAGGGUCCAUCCACAUAUUUAAUCCAACUCUCACAACACAAUGCAAUGAACAUAACAUUAACACUGGCAGCUCAUACUUAUCUACAUAUUAACACAUAUAAAAUGAAUCAACCAAACUAAAGCAAACUUCAUCAAACUAAAAUAAAUCUAAGCAAACUAAUAUUAUGAAUAUUUACAAAUUAUCCACAGAGUAUCAGUUAAAACAUGAUAAAACAAUUACAGUCCAAUAAAUAGAUUAUACACAAGCGAUCUUCAUAACAAUGGCGGUUCGAUUCACAUGUGUAUGAAUCGCGACAAACCAACAACCAAAAUAUUUGUAUUUAUUAAAGAUUAAUGUGAAAUAUCUUGUAUCUCAAAAGCUAAUCUUCACAGUACUCAUAACCACAAGGAUUAACGUCAUUGUUUCUUUACACAAACCAUUCUACAAUAUGCAUAUCAUAACAGGAAUAUGUUUUACCAACACACAGAUGAUUGAGAAUAUGUGACCCGAAAUCAGAUUUUACACAGUUCAAAGAUCAAAUUAAAAUUUUAAUCUUGAAAUGAAACAGGUUACCAAAACUUACUCUGAAGCUUCACCGUGGUUUGCUGUUUUCGUUGAGGCUUUCGGCAGCGGCAGAUUCUGGCGAUGGCUUGGUGAUGGCAGUGGAAAAGUUUUGACGGACGGUGAAAGGCGAUUGAAGGUGAUGAAGCUAGAGGCGACGAUGGAGUGAGAGGGUCGAUUUUGGGUUUGAGGUUUUACGGCGAUGUGUGGCGGCGAGGUAAGCGAUUUACACGGAGGUGGAGCGGAGGUUGCGGUUGCUUGACGGUAGUGUGGAUAGGCGGAGGGUUUUGAUGGUGAGUGGUGUGGUGGCUGAGGUUUUGAAGAUGUACUCGUAAGGAGGACGACGGUGGUUUUAAUGGAGGUGACGGCGGUGUGGAGUUAAGGGUUUUGAAGGUAGUGGAGACGGAAGGAUUCGCCGGCGAAUUUGUGUGAAGAUGAUGGGAACGGCGGCGAGGGUUUUGAAGAGAGAUUUGGGGUUUUGGUGGUUGUUUAAUGGUGGUGUUGGUGGAUGAGUGAAUCGAUGGAGGUGGUGAUUUGAAGCGAUGAAGCUGGAGGCGACGAUGGAGAAUGUGUGAUUUUGACGGUUGGUUGAAGAGAUGGAGAGGAAAUUUCCGAGAGUGAGAGGAUGGUGAGGUAGCGGCGGAUAGGGUUUUGUGAGAUAUCUGAGAGAGUGAGUGAGGAGAGUGAGAGAUGGAAGGGAGCGUUUUUGUGCUGAGAUUUUUUCUGAGCAAAAUGAGAGUCAGUACUGUAGUGAGUAGUGAGUGGUUUUUUGUAUAUAUUUUCUUUUUGUCGUUUGUGAGGAGAGGAUGGAGAGAGUAAGUGGAGCGUGAGUGGAGCAGGGAAUGGUUACUGAGUGGGGAGAGAGUGGAGUGAAGAGAGUCUUUUGUUUUUGUUUUUUUUUUGUCGUUUGUGGGAAAGCAAAGAGAGAGAAGAUGGACUGAAUAGUGAAUUGAAUAGUGAAUGAGGGAGUUUGUUAGGAUUUGAGAGAGAUAGUGGGGAGUAGCUGGCAGACCGUUGGGAACGUGAGUGGAUUGGGAGUGGAUUC
rnacentral:lncRNA from 1 species